rnacentral:rRNA from 1 species
GAUGAACGCUGGCGGCGUGCCUAAUACAUGCAAGUCGAGCGAACGGACGAGAAGCUUGCUUCUCUGAUGUUAGCGGCGGACGGGUGAGUAACACGUGGAUAACCUACCUAUAAGACUGGGAUAACUUCGGGAAACCGGAGCUAAUACCGGAUGAUAUUUUGAACCGCAUGGUUCAAAAGUGAAAGACGGUCUUGCUGUCACUUAUAGAUGGAUCCGCGCUGCAUUAGCUAGUUGGUAAGGUAACGGCUUACCAAGGCAACGAUGCAUAGCCGACCUGAGAGGGUGAUCGGCCACACUGGAACUGAGACACGGUCCAGACUCCUACGGGAGGCAGCAGUAGGGAAUCUUCCGCAAUGGGCGAAAGCCUGACGGAGCAACGCCGCGUGAGUGAUGAAGGUCUUCGGAUCGUAAAACUCUGUUAUUAGGGAAGAACAUAUGUGUAAGUAACUGUGCACAUCUUGACGGUACCUAAUCAGAAAGCCACGGCUAACUACGUGCCAGCAGCCGCGGUAAUACGUAGGUGGCAAGCGUUAUCCGGAAUUAUUGGGCGUAAAGCGCGCGUAGGCGGUUUUUUAAGUCUGAUGUGAAAGCCCACGGCUCAACCGUGGAGGGUCAUUGGAAACUGGAAAACUUGAGUGCAGAAGAGGAAAGUGGAAUUCCAUGUGUAGCGGUGAAAUGCGCAGAGAUAUAGAGGAACACCAGUGGCGAAGGCGACUUUCUGGUCUGUAACUGACGCUGAUGUGCGAAAGCGUGGGGAUCAAACAGGAUUAGAUACCCUGGCAGUCCACGCCGUAAACGAUGAGUGCUAAGUGUUAGGGGGUUUCCGCCCCUUAGUGCUGCAGCUAACGCAUUAAGCACUCCGCCUGGGGAGUACGACCGCAAGGUUGAAACUCAAAGGAAUUGACGGGGACCCGCACAAGCGGUGGAGCAUGUGGUUUAAUUCGAAGCAACGCGAAGAACCUUACCAAAUCUUGACAUCCUUUGACAACUCUAGAGAUAGAGCCUUCCCCUUCGGGGGACAAAGUGACAGGUGGUGCAUGGUUGUCGUCAGCUCGUGUCGUGAGAUGUUGGGUUAAGUCCCGCAACGAGCGCAACCCUUAAGCUUAGUUGCCAUCAUUAAGUUGGGCACUCUAAGUUGACUGCCGGUGACAAACCGGAGGAAGGUGGGGAUGACGUCAAAUCAUCAUGCCCCUUAUGAUUUGGGCUACACACGUGCUACAAUGGACAAUACAAAGGGCAGCGAAACCGCGAGGUCAAGCAAAUCCCAUAAAGUUGUUCUCAGUUCGGAUUGUAGUCUGCAACUCGACUACAUGAAGCUGGAAUCGCUAGUAAUCGUAGAUCAGCAUGCUACGGUGAAUACGUUCCCGGGUCU